rnacentral:rRNA from 1 species
AUACAUAGGGUGCAAGCGUUAAUCGGAAUUACUGGGCGUAAAGGGUGCGCAGGCGGCUAAGCAAGAACGGUGUGAAAUCCCGGGGCUCAACCUCGGAACUGCACUAUUAACUGCUUAGCUAGAGUAUGUCAGAGGGGGGUGGAAUUCCGCGUGUAGCAGUGAAAUGCGUAGAUAUGCGGAGGAACACCGAUGGCGAAGGCAGCCCCCUGGGAUAGUACUGACGCUCAGGCACGAAAGCGUGGGUAGCAAACAGGAUUAGAUACCCUGGUAGUCCACGCCCUAAACGAUGUCAACUAGCUGUUGGGAGGGUUACCUCUUAGUAGCGCAGCUAACGCGUGAAGUUGACCGCCUGGGGACUACGGUCGCAAGACUAAA